UACCCACGUCUGACCCAUCCCCACACCCACACCCACACCCACACCUUUCCUCUCUAGCUCUUUCUUUUGCUCUCUCACUCUUUGUUCUUCAACAGAAGCAAAAAACCCACCCUCUCUAUCACAACUGACGCUCCUCCACGUCUCACCCCCUCUCUCCCACGUCUUUUAAAGGCUACCCACUCCCCCUCUCUCUCUCCUCAUCCUUGAUUUUAAACUCUCUUCCUUACAUAGUCACACAAACCUUCUCCAUCUCUGUCCAGCUCUCUGGUUUCGGUUCUAGAUAGUUUUUGUUGUACAACCUCCAACAAAUGGACACUGAAGGUUUUGGUUCUCCGCAGAGGCUGAAGAGCUCGCCGGAGUAUUGGCGGUGAAGAAGGAAGGAGAUGGAGAAGGGGAGGAACCCUCUAGAACACCGGUAAUGGAGAUUUUUCUCACUCCUCCUAUUAGUCCAGCACCACCUCUUAAUAGCUCUUGAAUCCAAUUGCCAUUUUGUGAAUUUUCAUUCAUACCAAUCCCACAAUCACCAUUUUUGAGUAAUUUUUUGGGUUAUUCGAUUCAAACCCAGAAAAAAUGAGGGUGUGAAAAAGCUGUGAAAGAUUGAAGUGGGUUGUGGAAGUUUUAGAGGGAGACUGAAAUUGGGGAAGAGUUGGGAAAGAAGAGACAGAGAGGAGAGAGAAAGGGCUUGAUUUUAGAGAGAGAGAGGGGUUGGGUUCGUACGAAAGAGAAGGAACGACCUAGAGUUGUUUGGUUGAUGAUGCAAUUAAAGCAUUUUAAGUGAGGAAAAGAUUAGUUGGUGUUUGUUUGUUUGUUUAUUAAGAGGAUAAAACAUUUGCUGUGCAUAGCUGUGCCCUUUUGGGAUACAAAAAUUAAAACAGCCUCUACUUCUGCAGAUCUCAAUUAUAUCUCCAACUCCAUCCAUUUAUAUCUUCUUUUUAUCUCAUUUUGUUAUGUAUUUGAGUUGUACUCUACCUAAAAAAAAAAAAAAAAAAAA